UAGCCUUUUACUAUGAUGCAAUGAGCACAAUAUACCGUUCAUUUAUCCCUAAGACCCUAACUUUUAUAUGGUAAUGGCACUCAGAACCAAUUACUAACAAAAACAUUCACACAAAAGAACUAAUCAAAUCUAUUCAAGACAUCUAUAACAUCAAGAAAAUAUCAUCAGUACCACAAUUUCAAUCAGGACUCCAAACUUCUUAAAUUCUGUUUUCCAUGGCAGUAGACAGAUGACGGCCAACAAGGAUGAAGCAGAGGAAAUACGAUUCCUAAGCAAACAUGUGCCAUCUCAAACUUCAACUCGAGGGGAGGAUCAAUGAGCCAACAUUGAUCAUUUAUAGAGCGAAAUGGAUCAAAAACAACAAUGGUUUCUCCAUUAUUACCAUUAAUUAUCCAAUGCAAAGCAUUAUUCAAAGUAACAGCGCUUGUUCUAAACUGCCAAAAUCGUUGUAUGCUUUGUGGGCACGACAACAAGGACUCAUUCCACUCCCCUGUAUCGGAUGAAAAUGUCUCGACGAUAAGAUCAUUACUACAGGUGCCAACCUUCAGGAUGCGAACAACCUUGUACUGGAAUAAGGGAAGCAGGUGGUUCUCCCCGUCAUAAGUUACCAAUCCAAUGGCCAUAUCAUCCUCCACAUGGCGGCCUAGGAUUGGUGGGAGAGCGCACCAUUGCCUUGUAAGAAGAUUACAAACAUAGUACAUGCUUUGCUGGGAGGAGUACAACUUGUUGUCGUGACACACAACGAGGUCUCCAUGUGAUGCAACUAUACGAAUAGGCCAUGGAUCCGGGUGCUGGAAACAAGGAAGAAAGUCUAGUAAGAGAUCACGGGAUUGGAGAAUCGGAUGCUCCGAUACUAGAUGGAUCUUUCUAGAAGCUGUCUCGGUGAUAUGGUGAUGCCAGUAAUAAAACUGGUGCACUAAUGUGAAGGGCAACGAGUGAUCAAUGCUUCCGCGGUGGUGAUGGAUGAAGCAACGAACAAAGAAAGGGUCGGAGAUGAGAGAAAGCCAACGCUUACACACAGAUUCGGAGCGAAGAACAACUUGACAGGGCAGUCUUUUAAGGAUUUCAAUAAGUAAGUUGUCAGGGAGAUUGUUAAUAUGCAUUGUGUGUUAAUGGUUAUGCUUCAUUGCAACGUAGAAAAAAUGUGUUCCGCUGAAAAAGGAUUCAUCUAAAAUUAGAUUAGCCAAAGCUAGAUGUUUGACAUAUUCCUAAUUAGAUGCAAUUUGCAUACGUGCUGUCAGAUUGAUGGCAUAUUCUUAUACGUGUUUCCCUUAAUCCUGAUUACAAGCUACAACAACUUAUUAUAGUUUCA